rnacentral:lncRNA from 1 species
GUUGAAGCGUCGUUGAAUCAACUUCUCUCCAGUCUGUUGUUUCAUGAUGUGUGGUUUCUCGGAGGCUAUAAUCUUGUAACCUCCAUUUGGGAGGAUCCCCCCUUGAAAGUUACUGGUCUGCUCCAGUCAGAUGCACAGUCGGAUGCACAGUGGCGGUUGUAAAUGAAGCCCUUUCAGUGUAUCUGAAGAAUCAAGGAGUUAUUGAUGUUAACAAGGAGCGAGAGAAGCUCAAUGCUAAGUUUACAGAAUUACAAAAGUCGAAAGUUUCCCUCAUUGAUUGACGUCUCUAUAUUUGAGCAAGCAAAAGGAUAGUUUAAACAAGGCGAUGAGUGCCAAGG